AUUUAAAGAAAGCGUAAUAGCUCACUGGUCGAGUCGGCCUGCGCGGAAGAUGUAACGGGGCUAAACCAUGCACCGAAGCUGCGGCAGCGACACUAUGUGUUGUUGGGUAGGGGAGCGUUCUGUAAGCCUGCGAAGGUGUGCUGUGAGGCAUGCUGGAGGUAUCAGAAGUGCGAAUGCUGACAUAAGUAACGAUAAAGCGGGUGAAAAGCCCGCUCGCCGGAAGACCAAGGGUUCCUGUCC
rnacentral:rRNA from 1 species